GUACCUAAACCCACGCAGCCCGAAUGCAUUCCGCCACAGGACAGGGCCUGGUGCUAGCCUAGGCUAGCUGAGGUCACGCAAGGGAGAUGGCAGACAGACAGACAGACCCACCGGCCGAUGCACGAAGCAUGCAGCUUGGGCAGUGUAGACAUCAGGCUCACUCCCCAUGCUCUCCGUCCCCACCGUCCCCUUCCUCCAAGCGCCUUACGCUAAGCCUGGCGGCCGGCAGCCCCGACGUCACUGCCGCGCGCCGCCCGCGUCAUCGCGGCGCGCCGCUGCAGCAGGCGCAGAGCCGAAGCGCUGGCAGCUGCGUGCGCCCAGGCGCGAGCUGCCGGGCGGGUGGAGAGGAGCGCGGUGCGCUGUGCGCGGUGCGGGCUGCGGCUGCAGACGCCGCUGGGCCGGAGCGCGGGGUCAGGUGCGUGGGUGGGCGCCGCUCUCCCUGGGCCCGCCCGAGGCUUUGCAAGAGUCCGGGGCGGACACCCGGGUUCCCCCUGGAGUGGGCCGGGCUCCCGGAUGGGUGGGCACGGUAUCGCUCCAGGGACCGGGCUGCAGUGACAGCACCAGCAGGGCUGACAUCCCAGCACGCUCCGUCCCGGGGGGCCGGGAGGGAAACCGAGGCAGCGGGGGACUCCGCGAGCAGCUGGCUCCAGGGACCGCCCGCUGACAGCAGCCCCGCGUACCCCACAGUGUCCCGGGCGUGCUAUGGAGACCCCUGCCCUCCCUGCAGCCGGACACAGCUGUCGGGUGGCAUGCUGCCCAUUUUCCAGAUGGGAGAAGCAAGGCGUAGUAGUUAACCAACUUGUCCAAAUUCACAUGCGUGGUGUGCAGACGGGGCCUUGAACUCCAGAGGGGCCCCCUUGCCCCUGCCUGUGGCCCACUGUCAGAUUUUGUUUUCUUCCCUGCUCAGCACUGCUGUUUAGAGCCUCUGGGAUUCUUUUCUUUUAUUCUCCUCCCCUCUCCUGUAAAAAAAUCUGGCUUGACCUCAAGUAAACCCUGUGGGGCUGGAGGAGCAAGGCUUGGACGUCUGUUGGCACAAGCCUCCCUUUCCUCCUCCGAUCGCCUCAUUUCUUUUCUCAGGCUGCAGUGUGCUCCCCCACUCCCGGCCCCCCUCCGUUGUGUGGCCAUUCAGAACCGGAAGUUGGUAGGGGGAGGGGGCGUCGAAUCUUUAUAAUAAAGAACUUUUCCCACCAGAUGGGGUGCUUUACUGAUCUCUGGUGUCAGCUGAUUGCUUAUGCUGAACGGCUAAGGGCAGAUGUUGUUUUGAGGCUAAACAGUUAUCGGAGCAAAUCCACGUGGGGAUUGUAAAGAGUCCAGGUGUUCCUCUUAGAGAACAGUGUUCUCUCACUGAAGGUGGAUUUUGAUUUUAAGAGAAGAAUCUAAUGCUGGGGGGCAGGGGGAAGCCAGCAGCUAAAAUAAUUAAAUAAAGAUGAUAUAAGGUUUUUAAAAAUUAAAAAAAGCUGCAUUCAUACAUAUAAAAUGUCUUACCAAGUAAGCUUACGCUGGGGCUGGAGAUGUGGCGCAGUGGUUAACAGUCCCGCUGAUCUUUCAGAGGAUCAGAGUUUGGUCCCAGCACUUGCAUCAGGUAGCUCACGACCUAGCUCCAGGGAUCUGAUGUGCAGUAUUGGCCUCCUCCAGCACUCAUAUGUAUAUGCCUAUACAUGCACACACAUCCAUAAAUAAAUAAUAAAAAAGUUUUUGUCUCUAUCCUCCCAGGGAUACUCAGUUAUUAACAAAAGUGAAAUAAUUAUUCGUUGCAAGCCAGUAUUAUUACAAGUGCCUUAUUUUGAAGUUGUCUUCCUUUUUUUUACAAGUGACUUCUCAUGACAGUUUUGCCCAGGAAUCUGAAGGCUACAGCUGCUGUAUCCUUGUAUGUUCGGAAAAUACUGGUCUGUGAAUGUUGACCUUUGAGGUCAGGGCAGUUUAGCAGACAUGUAAACAGAUCGGGCCAGAUGAGCACUCUACCACCAAGCUAUAGCUUUUUGCUGCUACUCACUACACUAGCAAUCUGUCAGUUCAUGUAAUAUCUUGUUACUAAGCAGAACUGUGAGGAGAUGAGCAGUUUGAGGCCCGGGGUUACUCUCUGGAUACUUCCUUGAGUAGUGCUUAUUUCUUACAGCACAUGGUUUGGGACUUGCACGUUCUGCCAUGGAGGAGUCUUCAGUGACAGUUGGCACAAUAGACGUUUCUUAUCUGCCCAGUUCAUCGGAAUACAGCCUUGGCCGAUGUAAACACACCAGUGAGGACUGGGUAAGUUGACGAGAAGCCUUCAUCACAGCCCACUUAAAAUGUUUGCAGUGAUAUCAAGUAGAGAUUAAUCAUCAAAGAAACUGCUUCCGACUCUUAGAAAUGGUGUUUUUACAAUCUAAGAUUUAAAAUUUUUGGUAGUAUUAACUGGG
rnacentral:lncRNA from 1 species